rnacentral:misc_RNA from 1 species
GUUGAGCCAUGGACAUCGCAGUGAUGAUAUUGCAGCGUCUAGGCAUAAACAAUUUGUUGUUGCUAUUCAAAGUCAAAUAUCAGAUGUUGAAGCAGCAUUAAGGGAAGCUUUCACUGAGGAAGGAAAGCAACCUCUUCAAUGGGUGACUCUGAAUAAAGAAGAAUGUGAUGAUUUGGCCUUAUUUCUAUCAGGAACUCCCCAAACUCCACAAAUUGUGAAAGAUAAUUCCACUGCACAUAGACUUUUGGAAUGUCCUUUCAUGGAGAUUCAUCAUACGAGAAAAGAUGC